rnacentral:rRNA from 1 species
GACGAACGCUGGCGGCGUGCCUAAUACAUGCAAGUCGAACGCAGUGGGGACGGGUGAGUUACACGUGGGUAACCUCCCCUCAGAGGGGAUAACCCUUGGCAACAGGUGCUCAACCGAUACUGCUGGAUGGACCCGGGGUGCCUUAGCUAGUUGGUGAGGUAACGGCUCACCAAGGCGACGAUGCAUAGCCGACCUGAGAGGAUGAUCGGCCACACUGGGACUGAGACACGGCCCAGACUCCUACGGGAGGCAGCAGUAGGGAAUCUUCGGCAAUGGACGAAAGUCUGACCGAGCAACGCCGCGUGAGUGAAGAAGGUUUUCGGAUCGUAAAACUCUGUUGUUAGAGAAGCGGUAUCUAACCAGAAAGCCACGGCUAACUACGUGCCAGCAGCCGCGGUAAUAC